GCACUGCUUCUGUUGGAAACUACCGGGAUGGGGAGGGCCCCACGCGGAGGGGCCUCCGAGCAGCGCGGAACCUCCGCGGCCGCGCAGUGGAGAGGAGGCGCUGCCCCGGCUUCGGUGUCCGCUCAGCGCGGAGCUUCACCCACUUAAACCCCCUCUUGGUGCGCUCUUUUAAGCUCGGCGGGCCCGGGCAGGAUGUUUAUACUGAGCAAUGUAAACACGGGCUCGGGGGUGCUUUAAUAAAAAGAAAUCGGCGAAAACUCCCUCUGCCUCUCGAAAUGCCCUUUUCUGCCUCCGCCGCCGGUCCGGGGAUGGGAACGGGCUUCGGUCCCCUCUCCCGUUCCGAGGUUUCUUUGGGGCUCUUUCGCUUUCUUUCUUUCUUUCUUAUAUAUAUAUAUAUAUUUAACUUUAGGGGGGAGGUUGUUUAUAAAUCUGCGCUUCACAAACGGCUGAAUGCCGAGAGCCCCGUGCUCGGCUCGCUCGGAUGCCGCACACACAUUCACCGGGCUGGGGAAGGGGGGGGGGAACGGGACGGGAAGGAGAACGGGAAGGAAUAGUCCUUACCGCCCCCCCGCUUUCCUCCCAACCCUCCAGAAAAAAAAAAAAAAAAAAAAAAAAAAAGCCCUUUUCGAGCAUCUUCCCAUCGGGAGGGCUGUCGCUCGCUCGAGGUAAGUCGCUUUAAAGCUUUGUCACCUUUCUUGCGCGUUUAAAUCCACGCUCGCGAUGGGGGCUGUUAGGGUCGGGGGUUGGGGGGGGACACGGCACGGCGGCAGCUUUGGCUGCGUAGGGUGCGAGAGGGGCAAUGUGCGGCUCUGAGGUCGGGGAAAGGAAGAGAGAAAGGAAAGAGAACACAGGGAAUAAGAAGAAAUUUUCCCCUUCCACCCCUCACCUCCCUCUAAACCCCUCCGACCGAUGCAGGCCGCGCUGGAGGGCUGCGCCGCUAAAGAGAGCAUCCCCAAAGCCCCCUCUUUCAGGUUCGCUUUUAAAGGAUAUAUAUAUAUAUACACAUAUAUAUAUAUAAGUACUAUUAUUAUCACGUUUUGAAUGAUAAUUGAAGCCUUCUUAAAAAGAGGGGCAGCGGAUACCGAUCGGGUUUCCGAACUCCCUCCGCGUUAUUGGCGAGCAGUUGCGAGCAGCCUGCAGGGCGCCCGUCCCAACAGCACCGACAGGGAUUUCGCAUGGGGGGGCUUCCUUUUCUUCUUACUUUUUUUCCUUCCCCCCCCCCCCCCCCCCUUUUUUUUUUCUUUUUUUAAACCCUCCCUUCCUUCCCUUUCCCGUCGUUUUCUCCCGCUCCGCAAAUAAAAACAAAUCCCCGUGGGAAACGGAGGCGGAGGGGGAAUUUUGGGGAUGGGAGAACCCCCAGAGCAGGGAGGGCACGGAGGCAAACCUUAACCCCAAAUUGGCACUGUUAGGAAGUCACCCCUCUCCCGUCUGCUCGCAGAUUUCGGGCGGACAGUGCAGAUAAACCCUCCGCUUAGCGAUGCUUUCUAUUUAUCUCGGGGGCAGCGCAUCGCUGAUUCCCCCCCCCCUCCCCACACACACACGCAAACCCACCCCGUGCCACGAAAUGGGUAUUUUUCACCACUCUGAGACCGAAUUCCCCCAUUAUUCCCCCAUUCUUCCACCCCCCCCCUCCUCCCCCCCAAAAGAAACUCCCGGGAUGGAGCUCGGGAAGCGGCACAAAGAGACAGCACAAAACCCACCUUCAACCCCCCCCCCACCUCCAGGGCAGCGCUCCCAUCGGGAAAUACAUCUCUGCGCGGAAAUCAAAGCGUUCCACUCCGGACAGAACCGCUCAAAGCGCCUUUCCCCCCUCCCCACCCCAUCCAGGAGUUUAGGUUUUAUUUUUCGGGGGUGUGAAGGUUCGGUUUCCGAUGGAUUUAUGCCGUCCGGAGGACGCUGACGUGGAAAUAGAUGGCUCCGAUUUUUAUAGGCCUCGUGGUGGGAAUAGGAGGAAAGCUGGAAGGUUUUCUAUACGGCACAAAGAAACGGGGAGUUGAGUGCGGGACACGGGGGUGAGCGAGGGGGGUCGUCGGGUCUUUAUUGCUCUCCCCAGAAAUAGAACCUUAGGAUCGUGUAUAAGGGAAAGAAGUGCCUCCUGGGCCGGGCGGAGGAGCGGGGCUCGCUGGUUGCUGUUGUUUGCUGUCGGUUUGGCUGUUUGCAUCGGGUCCGCCCCCAGCGAAGGGGAAGGGGAGAUGGAGGGGGUAGGGGGGAGCAGGAAAAAAAUAGGAACUGGAAAAAGAAAAGGAUGAUCGGGAGCAAUGAGGCAAUUAGCCCCGCUAAUCCCGACCCGUUCUGUCCCGUUUUGCCGGACCCCGCUUCCCUCACGGCCUCUUCCCCCCCUUCCCCUCCCUGAAAGCGGGCCGUGUUUUGUGUAAAAAUAGACAAAUCCGAGCUUUCUUCCUUUUCCUGCGCCGAAGGUAUUUUUCCUCGCUAAUUGCUUAAGUGAAGUCAACCCCGCGAGCAGGCCGCGUGUAACCCGAGGAUGGAAAUGGAUCUAGGUGGGACCGGCGGGCGCUGCUCGGGGUGUUCCUGCCGCCCGGACCACCCAGAGAGAGGGGAGGGACCGCCGCAUGUCCCCCUCCCCCCCAACCCCUCCAUCCCCAUCCCCUCCUCCGCUGCUUCGCAUUAACGCCGCCCGCGGACCCCCCCCAACCCGGCACUGCCCCCACUCCGCUCUGCUCUCGCAGUCCCCGCCGCCCCGGGUCCGUUGCGAAUCGAUCCCUAAACGUUUAUUUAGGGCCGAGGGGUGCGCCGUGCCGAAAGCCUUUAGGCUUUAUUCGGCCCACGUGCUGAGAUCUCCGCACCGAACCGAGCGGAGGAACCCUCUGUUCCAACCCCCCCCCCCCCGCCUCCCCAUCGCCCUCAGAUCCUGAGAGCAAAAUUCCCCCCUCCCCUUCCCAAAACCGACGGCGUGGGGAAAAGCUUUGCCCCACGCGUGUCCGUACGUGCACACAGGGGAGGACAUCCAAGAGGAAUUUUGGGGACGAAACACAGCAACACUGGGGCUGCAGGGUUCUGCCAAGCUGAAGUUCAGGAGUUGGUCAGGAGGGAGAAGCGAAAGGAAAACCGUACAGAUUUUCCCCCUCUUUGUCCCUCUUCCCCCACCCCCCCAAAACAACCCCCCCAUCCCCCCCCCAGAAAUAAAAGCCCACAUUUUCCAUGACGUCCACCGGUGAAACGUUGCAGCGCAGGAAUGCACAGCCCUGACAGAGCCGCUCCCCGCGGCACACGGCCGUCCCAGCGCCCCGCAGCCCCCAUUACACGCCAGAGAUCUUUUAUAUAUCUGCGGGUGUUUAUAUCCCUGCUCGGGGACGGGGAGCUGGGAUGCUUUCCCAGGAGGGAUGCUGUGGGAGAGGGAAUAUCGGGAGAAGGGAUGGAGCUGAGCCGGAGAGCAACGAGAGAUGCUCUCGGCCGCCCCCGAUAAAACAAUUGAUCCUAAAGGCGAAGCGCAGAUCCGGGUUGAAACGGAUUUGGGGCGUCGGGGCUUUCUCCGACACGGUUUUCCUGAGGGGUUUCCCUCCAGCGACCCCAAUAGGAAAAGAAUUGGGGGUCGGGAGGGGAGAUCGGAGCUUAAUGUGGGUCUUUAAGGAAGGGAGAUGGGGACUCCCCGCUCCGUUCCUGCGCUUCCUCAGCGCGGCCCGAGAGCCGGGGCAGAUUCGGGGCGGUCCUCCCGGUACCGGGGCUGAAGAAGAGCCGAACCCCCGAGAAGGCACCCCGCUUCUCCCAGCUCCUUCGCAGAGCGCUGUGCCACGCAUAAAAAAACAAAACCCAUCGUUCUCAGCGUUUUUUUAGCCUCACAUUCCGGUGGGUGAGAGGUAACACGGGAACUUCGGUGCCUGCAAAACAUUUCGCUCCUCCGAGCCUUUCGAGGGCUGGGAAUCACCUCCAUUUCCCCGACGUGCCCUGGAGAGAAACGGGGACAGCGAGGGGCUUCCCUGCGUCCGCACCCCGCCCGGCCCCGCCUGGAUCCCUCCAUUACCGAUCUCCAUUCGUUGGGUUUUCUUUUGUUAGUUAGUUAGUUUGUUUUUUCCCCAACCCGAAACUAAAAUCCCCGUCGAAAUUCGAACCACAGCGCUGCACUCGGAGCGAGGGCCACCCGGUUCGGGGUUCCGUACAAAAUCCGCACGGGGAGCUGCGGGAAGUCACAGCGGAACGAACGCGAAGGGGUACGGCAUGGGGCUGCUAUCCCCUGCCAGCCUCGGGGGACAGCGUGGACUAUAGGGAUCGCUAUAGGGAAAAUGGCAGGGAACCCGGGAGGACCCUACGGUGCCCUCCCUGGUGUGGGAUUCUCGGAGGGAGAAAGGUGUUUUGCGAAGCAUCACGCGGCCCUGAGGGGACAGGAGGUGACAGCCCCACACCAAAUGUCCCCGGGCUCCCCAGCAUGGGGGUGUGAAAUGAAAUCCACGAUGAACGCCGUCUGUAAAUUACAGCCGCUCACUCCGAGGGGGUGAAGGGUCGGGGCUGCCAACCCUUUUUGCAGUGUCACCUGUCGUGCAGGGCGGCCCGGAGGGGCAAAAAGGGCACGGGGGUCCGCGGGGACACACGGCAAAACGAUCCACGCGGGAGGCGGCCGUUCCCCGUGGGGAGACGGAGAGCAUAGCGGCUCCCAGCGAAGGAUGCUGAGGGCAGGGAGAGCGCUGUGUCGGCCCUCGGGUACACGGGGGAAACCCGAAGCGGUUGUUUUUGGAUUGCGAGAAGGUCCCUGGGGCGGCAAAAGGGCUUUAUCCCUUUGUCCCUUUGCUUCGUGCCCAUAGGGUCCUGCCCUGCGCUGCUCAGGGAUCCACCUGCAAAUCCAGCCCCACAGCUCGGAGCAUCCCUCUGGGUUCCGGGGGAUAAAAUGACCAGUGGGGCCAUUUCAUUUCAAGCAUAGGAUGCAGAUGUCCGUGCAAAGGGCAGCACGCGUGGGGUGUGCCGAGCAGGGAAAGGCCGGCGGGGCUGCGUCCGAGGGGAACCUCCUGAGUUCUUAACCUUGCCUCUAUAAUAAAUCUCAGCCCCGCUCCAAACCUCCCCCCCCCCAGAGCCCAAAGAGAGGAGUUUCAGGACUGGCGUUCAUAAACAACGAAAAGAAUCCCCGUUGCAAACAGCUGCGGCUCCCUGCUCGCUUCUCCCCUCUUUGCAGAGAUCUGGGUUAGGCUUUCCACGGAAACCCUCCCGGCAGAAACUAUUUUCCAGCACUUUUCUUAAUGAGCGAAUUCCCAAUUAACGGCGUAUCCCUUAUGUGGGGGACCCGACGGCUCCGUAAUGUACCACAGCGCGAGCUCUGGGGCCGUAUUGUGGGGUGCUGUGGGUUUAUGGGCCCCACUUUUGCUUUCAGUUUCCCAGCACAGAACUAUAGAUAUAUAUAUAAACACUAAAAAAUUGGUUAAUUGCCUUUCCUACCUCCUUAGGAAAAAAAAAAUACACAAAAGAGUGAGUAGUAAAAUUAUACUUUUUGGUCACUAAGCCAAAUAUUAUCAGCGAUAUAUAUAUGUGUGUAUAUAUAUAUAUAUGUAUACAUACGAAAGCAUAUAUGCAUAUGUGUGCAUUCAAAAAUGAAUUGCAGGGAAUACAGUGCUCGGUUGGUCGGCGUUCUGAGGAAGGUGUUGGGUGAGUGCAUGAAAUACCCGAACCGAAGUGGGAAGGGUUUAUAUUAUGCCCCGCAGUUAAGCGGUUUCUGCGGCAAAAUCACUGCAGUUUUGUGAGCAUCGUGGGAACGGUGCAACCAUUUCCCCCGGGUUUAUUGGGGAAUGGGGUGUGAGGGUGCGGGAGAGGGGGGAGGAAAGGAGAAGAAAGCUGAGGGGGAAGAAAUACUGGCGCAGAAUUCGCUAUAGGUUCGAAUAACGAAGCUAGAAAUGAUGCGGUUCUUCCUAUUUCAAACCCGCUUGCUGAACCGUAAAACGUCGCAGCGCGUUUUGCAGAACACCUUCAGCACCGCGCUCUGAUUCUCCCUUAAAUCUCACUGCUAAAACCGUCGCAAAGCCGUUUUGCAAAGAAUCCCUUUUAAACCGGUGUGCGUGGAACUGUCUGCCCGUUCCCGUAUCGGAUUUGGGGGCUGUCUGCUAGCAAAGAUGCUGCGUGGCCGUGUAGCAAUAUUCCCCCCCCCACCCCUUCGGCCGCCAGAGUCGUUCGUUUUCCCUAUGGGAACGAUCCCACCCGCAGCUCCCAGUGGGACGGGGCCGUCUGUGUCCCUCCCCACGCAUGUGGGACGGGGCAGCCAUCGGGGAACGGUAAAGAGCAUCGAAAUGCUCCGUCUGCACGGCUCCGGUGGGCGGGGGGGACCCACGAGCAGGCAGGGGAUCCCGGCUGUGUGCAGCCGUAGGGAUGGAGGGAAAUACGCAGCGCCCGCACUUCGGGAAGGGGAGAUUUCGUUCCGUCGGUGGGGGAUGGAGAGAGCACCGGGUCCGGGCUGCCCUGAGAUCGGUCACUGAGAAGAGGAGGAUGUGGAGAUGGGGAGUGGAGGGGGACGUAGUGCCGAGAGUGGGGGGAGAGUGCAAGCGGGGAAGGAGAAAGGUGGGGGAAAAAAGGACGACGUGCAGAAACAAGGCAGAAAAUAAAGAGCGGGGGACAGAGAGAGAAAAAAAAAGGAAGAAAAAUACAGAAAAGAGUGAAAGACAGACAGAGAAAAAAAAUGAAGAAAAGGGAGACAGCGAGAAAAAGAAAGAAAGAAAAGAGGAAAAUAAACGAGAAAGGAGGGAAAGAAAGAUGGAAAGAAAUAUAUAGAGAAAAGAAAAAAUGAGAAAAUGAAGGAAAGAAAGAAUGAAUGAAUGGUGAAAGACAGAAAAUGAAAGAAAGAAGAAAGGAAGGAAAGGGCAAAACAGAAGAAGGCAAAACAAAGAGAAAAAGAAAAAAAAAGAAAAAGAAAAAAAGAAAAAAAAGAGAAAAGAGAAAAACGAAAGAAGGAAAGGAAAGGAAAUGGGAAAAGGAGGAGAGAAAGAAAAAGGAGAAGAGAAAGAAAAAGGAUAAAAAACGAAAGGAGAAAAAAAGAAAAAGAAAAAGAGAAAGAAAAGAAAAAAGAAAAAGGAAAAAAAGAAGAAAAAGAGAAAGGGAAAGAAAAAGAAAAAGAAAAGGGGAAAAAGAAGAAAAAGAAAAAUAGAAAGAAAAAGAAAAAUAAGAAGGAAAGGAAAAGAAAAAGGACAAAAAUGAGAAGAAAAAGAAAGGAAAAAGGGAACGAAAUAAGGAAAUAGAAAUCAGAGUGUGAAAGAAAUAGUGAACAUUAGAAAGCAUAAGAGUGCAUAAACAAACGAAAUAAAGGAGAGAAUGCUAACAAGUAAAACAGAAAUGAAGAGAAUGGGAAAGCGAGAAAUAGUGAAAGAAAGACAAAGAAAAACGGGGAAGUAGAAAGCGAAAAAAAAGAGGGAAAAAUAAAUAAGAAAAAUAGAGAGAAUGAGAAAAAGUGAGAGUGAAGGGGAGGAAAUAAAGAAAUAAAGAAAAAAGAAGUAGAAAUGAAAAAAAGAAUAAAGAAAGAGGAAGGGGGAAGGGAGAGAAGGAGAAAAGAAAGGUGGAAGGAGAAAGGAGAAGAGAGGGAAAAGAGUGAGAAGGAAAGAGAAGGAAGGGAGGAAGGGAGGAAGGGAGGAAGGGAGGAAGGGAGGAAGGGAGGAAGGGAGGAAGGGAGGAAGGGAGGAAGGGAGGAAGGGAGGAAGGGAGGAAGGAAGGAAGGAAGGAAGGAAGGAAGGAAGGAAGGAAGGAAGAAAAGAAGGAAAGAAGGAAAGAAGGAAAGAAGGAAAGAAAAAGAAAAAAGAGAGGAAGAAAGAAAGAGAAAAGGCAAAUGAACGCCCCGCAAAGCCAAUCUCAGGGCGCAGUCAGGGCGGUCACCCAGGCACGCAGCGCUGUCGGGUCAGAGCGGCGCGGCCCCAUCCCGUCCCAUCGGGAGGUGCCGCUCACCGCAUCCCUCCGCACCGCCAACCGGGGGAGAAAAGCCCCGAACACCGCGUUCCAUAUUUCGAGGAGUUCUGCGCGCUUUCGGGGUUGUUGAAAUUUCGCUUUGAUGUUUUAUUGCCUCUCUCAUCUUUUCCUGGAGAGAGGAACCGGCGCUGUGUGAGCACCCCGUACCCCCAACCCCCCUUACCCCCGGGCAGGGCCACAAACGAGAACUGCCAUUUCACACCGAUUUCACACCGAUUUCACACCCAUUUCACACCCAUUUCACACCCAUUUCCCCGGGGUUGCCCCGCUCCGCUGCUGCCCCGCGGCUCCGCGCAAAUUGCGCGCCCGCUCCGCGCCUCCUCUGCCUGCGGUCGGUCCCGCAUUCGCUCGGCCGGCUCCGUAGGUGGCCGUGUAUAUUUUUGUUGAAGUAGUGUUUAUGUUAAUGAAAAAGUCUGAGAUUACAAACAGACCACUGAACGCCCGGGAUGUUGCUGCCGGAUUGGUCUACGUUGUGUAUUUUAAACCUAAUCAGGAGCAAAUAUGAUUUCCCCCCCCCCCCCUCCCGUGUAUGUGUGUGUGUGCAUUAUUUUUAGCAGAAAGACGUACGGGAUGUUUGGGGAGCCCCGUGCCACCCCUGUCCCUUUACCCAGUGAUUUCGGAGCUGUGUUUUUCCCUGUGUGGCUGGGGAGGGAGUGGGGAUGCAGGGAGAGGUGUCAGAGCAGCUAUCCGAGAAUUACCCCCAGAACAACGAAAACGAUCCCAUUGCUCCUGGAAAGGGAAAGGAAGGGCUCAGCUCACCCCCUCCGAGCUCCCUCCGACCCCAUAGAGGGGUUUCCAUGCGCCGGUGGCAAACGGGUGCGCGUCCCUAAAGCCUCGCCUAAGGGAUGGGGUAUCCUUUCCUUUGGGUAUUUUCUUUGCCGGGAAUUGCUGGGCACAACCUGAAAUUUGCAUCAAAAACCCCUUCCAAUUCGGCAGUGAAAAAUGCCAUUUACAAUUUGCCACAUGAAAAAAAAAAAUAGAUAAAUAGGCAGAAAUACUGAUAGAUUUCAGCCCUUGUAAAUGCCAAGUGUGCAGCAAUCAGUUCAUCCAUUGCUUAAAAGUGGAGGUCCGGAGAGCUUUUGGGUUUUUCUUUCAGGAGGGAGCUGUGAUUUUCUUUGAUUUCAGAGCCUUUUGGGGUCCCUUUGAUUCCGGUUUCCUUAACAAAAAAAAUCACUUCUGGAACCCCCUCAGCUGCUCCUAUCUCCCCUUCCGUUGCUGUGCUGGUGAAGAUUCAAAGAAAAUAACCCUAUUUUUGCAGACGUUCCUCUGCUGAUCGAUCACUCCCAGCACAGAGGGAUGCAUUUGGGGUCCCGGCAAAAGGGUUUCUCCCCCUUGACAGCUUUGCAAGCAACAGUGAGGCGGCUUUGGCAUCGCCUUCCUUCCCAAUAUUUGCCUUUUGUGGGCAAAAGCUGUCGGUGGAGCAGAGCUCUCCGGCACGGCCAGCCGGAGGAUUUGUGCACUCCGAUGUUUUACUACUGUUAUGAUUCCUCAUUGACUGAAAGUACAAAGAAAAUCGCCGUGUAAACAAGUCGCCGUCUGAAGGGGAUGUGGGCGAAAUUCGGGGCAAGCAGAACCUCAGCAGGGAUUUAAGGGAAGAAGGGAAACAAGGGGAAAACACGACAAUCCUGUGUAAGGUUUUCUCUAUGCAAUGGCAGUAUCACUUCGGAGCUGUGCAGGGUUUUUUUUCCCCAUGUUUCAUGGGGCAGAGGAGAGCCCUAAAGUGGUUUUUUCUCCCUGAGAAUAUCUGGAUGGCAUCGAUCUGUCUCCCAACAGAAAGAAGUAGGUUCCAGCAUGAGGCUUAGGGGGUUUCUUCAUUCUCCCACCUGAAACUAGCAGUUUUUUUUUUCCAUGAAACUGUAUUUUAUUGCAUUCUUUCUUUUGAGCGGGUCAAUCCCCCCCCUUUUCUUUUAACCUAGCAACAUUAAGCAACGCUGCAGAGGGAUUGUCAACACUACAGCAUUUGGCUUUGGGGAUAACACCACUGCUGUCGGAGCCAGACGAUCCAUCACGGCGCGCUGGAACCGACCUACGAUCCGGGGAUAUUCUUAGAUACUCAGCAUGUCAGGAAACGGCUCACAGCCCCACUUGAUGCAAAUAUUUGGACGAGCGAGAGGUUUCUGGCCAGCAGCUCCAAGGACUGUCACAGCCAUGUUGUGCGUUUGGGAACGUCAUGCAAUGGGGCUUUAACUGUGAAUGGAGGACAUCCUGGCCCCACUAUGGGUGGGAUAAGAACAACUCUCACCUCAAAGAUGUAACGAAAUAAAUCUUUAGCAAGAACAAACCUUCACUUCCUCUCUCAGUCACAAACCCCAGGAAAGAAAAAUAAAUCACAACGUGAGCUCACCCGCUCUCGGAGGAUACCACGUUACUCCUGAAGGCUACCACUCAAACUGGAGGUGUCCGUCCCUCAGAGAGAUCAACGAAUGCAGCAAAUUAAUGAGCAGCAUCAGCCCAAGCUUUGACAUGAAACCAGCCCUGAAAACAAAGCCAUGUGCAGUGCCAUGAGCCAGGCAAUCCUAAUUCUCCAUGUUACCUUCCCAUUCCGUGGCCUGUUGGUGGGACAAAGAGUUGGUACCCAUGAAAUCACCAUUUUAAGUGUGGCCAAAGUCAAGAGCGGAUAAAAGCCUGCCACGAUCAGUCUGAAUCACGGUUGAUGUGAUGGCCAGCAAUGGUCAGGAGUGGGACUGUGCUGCUGGUGUGCUCCCAGCAUUCAUCCCUUGGGCACUGAGGGCCAAUGAGUAUCUCUGGCUCAUCCCAAAACUCUGCCCCUCGUCUCCCCUAAUCCACCUAAUGCCUUUUCAACUGGAACCGGAAAAAGCAGCAGCAGGGUGUGUUUGUUUUUCUCAAUUGGCCGUGGCAAAGAGGUAGAAAUACACCUCCAAAUAGCAUUUCCUCCUCUCCUGAGAGAAGUCUCCGUAUGAGAGCUGUGUUGCUCAGGAAGCCUCAAACCAUCUCUGAAUGUGACCAAAUUAUAACAGCUGUGUCUCCGGUUGACACAGGUCUAAGAUAAAGACGGAUUGACUUUAAGCUGGGAGUACAAAACUGCACAGAAGCAGCGAUGUGGAUUUACACCAGAUAGCUUUUAUUCCUUCAAGGAUACUCAGGGGGAGAUGAACCAUGAGAUACCCACAAAUCGUGCUGAAGUCAGAAGACAUUUGGCCCAGACACUUCAGGGGGCUGAAAUGAGACUUUCCUCCUUCUUCUUCUUCUUUUUUUUAAACAAGAGAUCUUUGCAGUUUUGAAACAAUCCGUACAGUUAGCAUUGAAGAAAGUGUAAUUAGACACUUGGAGGACUGGAAGAAAUUAACUCCAACCACAGGCUGUCACUCAGACCAUUAUUUAAUUAUUCUCCCCAAAUGCGCAAAGCACUUAGUUUUAGAAUAACAGGAAAGAAGUCUAACUCCUCACCAACAGCUCAGUCUCUGGAUGGGGACACAUGCACAUAAAGCCAAUGGGCUCCCAAGCCAUAGGAUGGGGACAGGAACAAGCGCCUUGGGCACAACUUUGGGCUCUGAAGGAUGUGAUUGAUGCCUGAAUGGCUGGAACCCAGUCAACGGGAGUGCCCAGCCCAAGGUGCAACAGGCUGCGGGAGAGAAGAUCGCCUUCAGUUUCCAACAUGCCAAGGAAACCACUGAGAAAUUGCUGUUUUCCUUCUUCUGCAGCACCGGGCAGAGCCGUUGACUCACCCCUCGCUACAGAAGCCUGGCUAGAAAGAGAUUAUUGUGAUUUCUGACUGUUUCUUUCCUAACUACAAAAGGCCCCAUUCAUCUGGGCUAAUUUUGACGGGAGAGCAAGGGGUAUCAGUAGCAUGAACUGUAUCUGAGCGUCUCGACCGCAUUUCAGCAAGCCAUGCUUGUUGGCCAGUUCCAGCCAGUGAAAUGGAUAUCCUCCAUUUCAAGCUUUUUAGUGGAUCGUUUCUCUGGUUCUAAACAGAGGUAUCUUUUCUGGCCGUGGCAAGUUUGAGAAGUACUGACGAAGCAGAGACGGCCAUUUUCAUGGCAGGAACAAGAGGCCAUUUAAAAAGGGGGAAAGGGCUGUUCUGCUCGAUCAGUGCACCAGCAUUUGUCUACCUACAUGCACCAUGCAUGUGCACCGAGGCUGGGCCCAGAACAGUGAAUCUCUGCCUUAUUUCCAAGGUCUGAACAAAACAUACUUUUAUUUUUAUUUUUUGAAAAUGCUAAAUUUGCUUAAUUGCGAGCCUUUGUGGAGCUCAGCUGGGACUGCCUGCGUGUGUGGGAAGGGCUGGAACGUAAUUGCUUUCAGCAGAUAUCACUGUAGUCUGUAAUUAAAACAUAUGAGGCUGCCAGCUUCAGAUUUUCUAAGUGAUUUCAUCUGUAUUUGGGUGAUCACCUCUCUCUGAGAGGCUCAUAUUAAAUGAUAUUUCAAGUUCCAGUGCACCAAAUGGGUGAAAAACAAUUUUGUCCUCUCCUUCUUGUAGUCUCCAAGCAAGUCACCUAGGCAGCUUGGAGAGGCAGAGCUCAGACCUCAUACGCACAUCCCUUCACCAGGGAAAUGCUUGGUGAAAGCUGCUCAAGAAGUGCUGCUCCAGAGACAGAGCGGAAGGUGUUGAUAAAGCUUGUUAAAGAAAAAGGAAGGGGGGAAAAAAGGCUAACAAAAAAAAUCUGGCACCUCCUAAAUCAGAGUGACAAUUUCAGUGCAGUGUUUACAUGAGGUAGUAAAAAUAAAUUGCCUGAGACUGAUUAUACCCACAUGGCACUCUAAAGGCAACAGGGAUGUCCCCCAGUAUCAGAAACCCAACACGGGGGAAAUACGUGAUGAUGGCAACCCUCAGCCCAUUGGGGCCAGCACUGCUUUGUUACUUGCCUCAAUAGGUGGAAGCAGCAGUGAGAAGAGGGAUCUGCAACUCCCCACAGAUAGACAUGAUCGCCCCAGGAGCCAUGGUUGGCUUACAAGGCCACUGCUGUUGAGUCCUACAAGGGCUGUAGACAAAGGAGCGUGUGGGUUUGGGGCAUCCUCAAGCUUGGACAACAUACGCCUGCUGGAUCAAAAUGGGUAAUGGAAGAAGGCAAAGAUGAUAGCAUCACUGUUAGAAUUGUAAUGAGUCACAAAUGCUAUUUUGAUGGUUUUCUUUGAAAGACAUGCACAAGAGCCAACCGAUGUAAUUGAAGAUCUCCAAGGCUUUGUAAUCAGCACGGCCACAAACGAAGGCAAACCUACUUUCAUGUGGUAGAAUACAAGAGGAGGUUCCCCAUGAAAAUUAAAAAAAAAGGGGGGGGGGGGUGGGGAAAGAAAGAGAAAAAAGAAAUUUUGAAGGGUUUUGUUUGUAGUGAUACCAGGACAUGAAGGACAUGCAGCCCCCAGAAUGACUGCAACAGCCUUCACGGCUGAGAUGUUUAAACCUAAGGAAUAGGAUGGGUCACUCAGCAGACAGUUUUUAUUCUUGGCAAGUAAGCUCUGAGCAUGGGGAAAGUGAGCAUUUUUGGCCUACGUGUGACCACCUGGGACUGAUCUGCUCGGAGGAGCAGGAAACACCAUGCAGUUGACCUGAUAGAAAUAGCUGCUGUUUCCUUUGCAUCCCAUCACCACGGGGCUGUGAGGUGCACCGUACCCCUGUGUGCAUCCAGUGUUUGCUGAAAAACAUCAGGGAAAUGGCGAGAGGGUGGAUUAAUCUGCCUGAAGAAGCUUGUGAUUAAUGCAACUUGGAUGGUGCUGUGGGAAGGCGGAUGGCUUGAAAAGAUGGAAGGAAGUCUGAGGCUGUCCUGGCUUGAUACUAUAUAUGGUCUUUGGUCAGUUCUGCCUCAGAGACUGCAGCCAGAAUCAGAUUUUUACUGUAUUUCUUUUGAAAGCGGAAAAAUGCUUGAAUAAUUUCACCCAGCUCAAAGAGCUGAGACAGAUAGGUCCAACAGUAAUCCAAGUGGUGAUGGAUGGGUCCACCAGCGAUCCCCGCUAUGAACUGGCUGCACCAGCAGGAUGAUUUCUCAGAGCACGAGCUGUGAGUUUGACCAAGUCCCUUCCAGCAGCCCUACUUAGGCUGCAAAGCCCCAGAGAUUUGUGCUUUCAUGCAGAUCCAACCUGCACUGAUAACCAGCACUGCUGAACGCGCUGGAACAUCCCCCCUCCCCACCCCUUUUUACAUCUGCUCUACAUUUGCAUCUCAGAAAUUAGAGAACUGAGCUAUGCAGAAUUACAGAGCACGGGCUGGAGUAUGGAACUGAUUGGGUAUUCAGGCUAAAUAAGACGAGUUUAAAGAUCUUUCCAGGAAAUUGAGUGGAACACCCAAACUGACAUUCAGUAUUAAAUAUUAUAUUUGUGCAGUUGCUCUCCAUAGCCCGUUGGCACUGAACAUCUGGGAGCACGAUUUAUAACAUACAGAAACUGAAUACCUGCUCAAAAUUAUGCUCAUCAGAGCUCAGAAAUUAAAAUAUUACCCUGUACACUCCGAGCCACUCCAUUCCUAAAAGGUAAGGCUAUUAAAAUAUGAUUAGCUGAGCCAUAUCUGGUCUCAGAAAUGUCAUACACCAUUACAACUGAAAAGACUUUGAUGCAAUGCUGUUGGCAAAGCCCCCUGCUUGAUCAGCAGCAAGAUGCCUAAGAAUGAACCUUGCAAAUACUUGCCCCAGCAUCAGGAGGGAAAUGCAGAAGAGAAGGGGAGCUGCUGGUUGGAGAUGCUGGAGUGGUUUGGGUCUUCUAUUUAGGGUAGGCAAGAGCUGAAAGCUUGAAUGCUAUUAUUAUUAUUAAUAUGGAAAGAGUCCCGCUGCCCUUUGCUGUCCAUUGCAAUGGGCUUCUUAUCCUUGCCCAGUACAGAGGUAGCCCCAUUGCUGUCCCCAGCCAUCGCUGCUCCCGGCCCUGCGCUGCCACAUUUCCAAGAGCACUCCAUGGGUGGUCGGGGUCACAUUUCCCCUCUUGUUGGAGAAUAAAAUCCAAACAACAGCCACAGAAAACCUGUAGGCACUGGGCUCAGGUUGGGGUGAUUACAAUCCUCUGCUUCUUGCAAUGCAAGAAAUUAUAUAUGCAUAUAUAGAAACACAUGCAUAUAUCUUGUAGAAUACCAGUUAGAAUGAUAGAAUUAUAUAGGGAUAUAAUGACAUAUUAUCUAAUCUAUACAUUAAAAUGAUGUUAUAUUUAUGUAAAAUCUUUCGCAAUACAUGAUUGUCUCUCCCAAUGAGGCAUUGAACAGCAUUCACCAUUAAACAUUCCUAUGCUGGUAUCUCUGUAAGGGCUCAGCUGGGGAUGGUCCCCCCAGGUCUGGGGCACUCAGCUCUGGCCAAAGCCUUCCCUAGGGCUGGCCAUGUAAUCCCAGCCAUGAUGCCUCAGCCCUAUUACCCUUUGCCCACCCCACAGCCAGCAGAAUUCCCUUAUAUUGAAGCCUGCAUGCCCCGGCCCUGCGGGAGCUGCCUCUCCCCGCCUUUGUCAGGGCUUAUUACUCCAUGUUUUCACACUUAUCCCCAAGGUGUUGAACUCACCCUGAAGGUUAAUUAGUAAUUUAUUGCGCUGUCAUCAGUUGGAGGCUACUAAUGGCUUCAAUUUAGCCCUAGGGCUCUUUUUUUUUUUUUUUUUUUUCUUUCUUCCUCCCUUCCUUUCCUCCUGCCUGCUCUGGAGAAGCUGGAAGCUGCAGUGCAUGGGAAAGCAGCAGAACUACCAGCUGGAAAUAUGGUCUCAAGGGGCUGAAGGUGGCUCUGGGUGCUGUCCUGUAUCCCUGGCCCGGUCAGCAAGAAAGCAAUUUAAAUCAAUUCACCAGAACGGCAAAGCUGAGAGCACGUGCCUGUGCCUGUGCUUAGCAACAUCACCAGCUGCUAUAGCAGGACAGCCUGCAUAGCAUAGAGGAUGGCACACCGACCCCACCACCUGACCUCUGGGCAUCUGCUUUUUGCACUGCACACCUGCAAGGCUCAUUGCUGAGCAAUGGGAGCCUCUGUGGUUGGAGCUGAUGAGGGAUGGGUGGCAAUAAGGAGCUGUUCUGCCCAUCCCAUAAUGCCCCUCCAGCAUGCCUCAAUUUCUCUCCCACCCCAUCAUAGUGAUACCAAACAGAGUCCCCAGGAUGGCACACUGUGCCCCCCUGCUGUGUGUCACCCCAUGUCCCCACCAGCCCUGUCCCGAUGAAGUACCUCUUACAAAACAGCCAUGCACUGAUUUCUUUUCUUAAUUAUUUUUUGGAAAAUAACCGAAUAACCCCAUUUCCUGUGUUUAUACAGACCAUUAGGUAAACCAGCCACGGGAAGGGGGAAGAGAAGGGAUGCGGGAUGGAAGCGAGCUCUGCAGCCA
rnacentral:lncRNA from 1 species